GGCGGCGGCGGGCGGCAGGCCCGCCUCGCCCCGUGAGGGCUUGGCGGGUCUCGGGGAGCGGGGCCGGGGGGCCCGAGGAAGGCGCAGCUGAGGUCAAGGGCUCCCCUGAGGGGGCGCGCCCCUUCCCGCCGCCGCCCUCGGCCGCCUCAGCGCUGCCCGGCGGCGAGGCGAGGGCGUGAGGGAGCCGCGGCCGGGCGGGAGGAAGCCGCCCGCGCUGGGCAGCCCCGCAGCCACCCCCGCGGAGGGACUGAGGGCGCCAGACGUCUCUGUCCCGGCCCCGGCGCUCCCCUCGGCUACCGCCUGCACCCCGCAAGAGGCCCUUUCUCGACUCUCCGUGCAGCAGUAUGGCAACGGUGCCGUUACCGCCAAGGCCACCUCAGAGCCGCCGCGGUGCUUGUUAAAAGCUAAAUGUGGCCCAGUACCCAGAUGGAUGCCUCACCUCCCCUGAUCGCUCUUGAAGAUGUCCAGACAUGAGCCAUCUUUUGCCUGGAAGCUGUACAGCCCUGCUCACACGUUUUGGUGUCUCAGGAGGCCUUCCUGAGUUGACAGGUCCACUGAAGAGCACAUAUCACAGAGAAAUGGGGACCAAGCUGAAUCUCUCCAGCAGCUUGGGCAG